ACUUGCUAGCUGUGACGUACUAUCAGCUCCGGCUAUACUCCGUGCCAGCAGCCGCGGUAAUACGGAGGGUGCGAGCGUUAAUCGGAAUUACUGGGCGUAAAGCGUACGCAGGCGGUUUGUUAAGCGAGAUGUGAAAGCCCCGGGCUUAACCUGGGAACUGCAUUUCGAACUGGCAGACUAGAGUGUGAUAGAGGGUGGUAGAAUUUCAGGUGUAGCGGUGAAAUGCGUAGAGAUCUGAAGGAAUACCGAUGGCGAAGGCAGCCACCUGGGUCAACACUGACGCUCAUGUACGAAAGCGUGGGGAGCAAACAGGAUUAGAUACCCUGGUAGUCCACGCCGUAAACGAUGUCUACUAGAAGCUGGACUCUUCGGAGGACUUUUUCAAAGCUAACGCAUUAAGUAGACCGCCUGGGGAGUACGGCCGCAAGGUUAAAACUCAAAUGAAUUGACGGGGGCCCGCACAAGCGGUGGAGCAUGUGGUUUAAUUCGAUGCAACGCGAAGAACCUUACCUACACUUGACAUACAGAGAACUACCAGAGA
rnacentral:rRNA from 1 species